UACGUAGGCAGCAAGCGUUGUUCGGAAUUACUGGGCGUAAAGAGUGUGUAGGUGGUGUUCCAAGUUUGUCGUGAAAUCUCCCGGCUUAACUGGGAGGGUGCGGCGAAAACUGGAAUGCUUGAGGAUGGGAGAGGAAAGCGGAAUUCCUGGUGUAGCGGUGAAAUGCGUAGAUAUCAGGAGGAACACCCGUGGUGUAGACAGCUUUCUGGACCAUUUCUGACACUGAGACACGAAAGCGUGGGUAGCAAACAGG
rnacentral:rRNA from 1 species